CACACCCUGAGCUCCGGUGCUCCUUUCCUAACUCCACUGGCUGAGGCAUCUGUGGGAAAAGUGUGGCUGGGUCUUCGAGGAGCCGCACCAAUGGCUUCCGUGCUGUCCUACGAAAGCCUGGUCCACGCAGUGGCCGGAGCCGUGGCUAACCAUUAAGAGGCCGAGAAAAUAAGAUUGCACCAGCAAAGGAGACAAACGAAGGAUGGAUCAGUACUGCAGGAGGGAAGCUGAGAACUAAGAGUGAAAGCCAGGUGAAGAAAGUGUUUCUGGGGAAGGAAGUAGACCAGCUGGGUCAGAUGCUGCUGAUGGGUCAAGUAAGGGAAGCGUGACAGCAAUGACAGUGUUUUUUCCCCUGGAUACAGCUAGACUUCGACUUCAGGUUGAUGAGAAAAGAAAAUCCAAAACUACACACAUGGUGCUCCUGGAGAUCAUUAAAGAAGAAGGACUCCUGGCACCAUAUCGAGGGUGGUUUCCAGUGAUUUCCAGUCUCUGCUGCUCCAAUUUUGUCUACUUCUACACUUUUAAUAGCCUCAAAGCACUCUGGGUCAAAGGUCAACAUUCUACCACUGGAAAAGAUCUGGUAGUUGGGUUUGUUGCAGGACUGGUGAGGAAUAUUUUAAUAUCUCAAGAUGGUGUUAAAUUGGGAUCAUAUGUUUUCAGAAAAGAAGCACCUGGCUCAUUGUAUUGUUCUACUCUGAGGCAACCUUGGGGGGCCAAGAUCCCCAUCCUUAAGCUUGAGUGGUUAAUGUGUUGCUAACAACUCCACUCUGGGUGGUAAACACCAGACUGAAGCUGCAAGGGGCAAAAUUUAGGAAUGAAGACAUUGUACCAACAAACUACAAAGGUAUCAUUGAUGCUUUUCAUCAGAUCAUUCGCGAUGAAGGAAUCUCGGCUUUAUGGAAUGGCACAUUUCCCUCAUUGCUGUUGGUCUUCAAUCCUGCCAUCCAGUUCAUGUUUUAUGAAGGUUUAAAACGGCAGCUUUUAAAGAAACGGAUGAAGCUUUCUUCCUUGGAUGUGUUCAUCAUUGGUGCAGUAGCCAAAGCGAUUGCCACCACGGUGACCUAUCCCCUGCAGACGGUACAGUCAAUUCUGAGGUUUGGGCGUCAUAGACUAAACCCAGAAAACAGAACAUUGGGAAGUCUUCGGAAUAUUCUCUAUCUUCUUCACCAACGAGUAAGACGUUUUGGAAUAAUGGGACUCUACAAAGGCCUUGAAGCCAAACUGCUGCAGACAGUCCUCACUGCUGCUCUCAUGUUCCUUGUUUAUGAGAAACUGACAGCUGCCACCUUCACAGUUAUGGGGCUGAAGCGUGCACACAAACACUGAGACGCCUUCCCAUGAAAAAUUCCGAAGAUGCACAAGAGGGAGGUUUCCUCCUGAGUGAAGAGAAGUGAUUCUCCCUUGACUCUGGCUCCUGCCACCACAAAUGUUACCCUCAUUGGCUUGAAAAGCAUCCAAGGGUGCACAGGGAGUAUGGCCAACUGGACCUGUUGUCACCUUAAUUGUCAUGCUGGCUGGUUGGAUUUUGGGGUGGCAGUUGGACUAAUGUGAAAAAAACAUUGCUGAAAACCUAAAAAUGAAAGUUUGUGAGUGUUUAUUGGUUUUCUUAAGAGAAAUGGACUAUUUUGCUCUCAUGUGUAAUGUUUUCUAUUUAAAUCUUUCUUAAGUAUACCAGCUGUUCUCUUUCCCUAAACUCUCCCCCAGGUUCUAGGACAAAUUUAAUAACAUGUAAUUCUCCUCAAAUACUUUUGUAUGUCUCAGUGUUGGUGUUUUCCUCCCUAAAACUAACAUUAGGGCUGUGCCACGGGCAUGACUUGAUUUUUGUUGGGCUUUUUCUUCCCUGCUUAAGGAGAGGUGUCUUUUUUGGAUAUGAGCUAUUUAUUUUGUGAAAUGAAAAUUGUUCAUCCCAAAUGAUUCUCUUAUAAACUAUUUGUAAAUGUCACUUAUUCAUUAGUGUUUGACAUAAUUUUUAGAAUAUUUAUUUUGAAUCAAUCCUUUCAUUACGAAAGACUUGAAGUUUUGUGUCCAUCCUUACAAGCCCUGGUCAGUCAAGUCCCAAUAAAUGGUCAGCACAAAAAAGAUAUUCUUGAAAAUUGCUCUUUAUUAAGGUAUUACGUUGAGUUUGCAACCAGAUGGGAAAAAUCACAAAAAUGAGAAGGGGAGCAGAUAUCUUGUUGAGGUCUGGAUAUUAUCUCCCUUUAUAAACUUGGUGUAGGCUGUAUAUUUUGAAAAUAAACAUCUGGUUGAGGUUAUUUCAUUUGGAAACCUCCCUUAGAGUCCUAUUGCUCAGUGUGGUCCAUCAGACGGUAGUACUGCCACAAGCUGAGAGCUUGCUGGGCACGCAACCCAGAGUUUCUGAAUCCUGUUCCGUAUUUUAACAUUCCCAGGUGAUUCACAGCCACAUUAAAGUUCAGGAGACCAUAGGACCCCUGACCCAUGAGAAGAAGUGAUUGGUUUCGAUUAUAGACAUCAAGAUAAAGAUUUUUCUCAAAGGAAAGAGAUUAAUGUAUUAAAACAACCUCUGAAAAAUC
rnacentral:sRNA from 1 species